UGGUUCUGUUGUGGAAAACAGCUGCAAGUGUUUGGGGUCUAGUAGCAUUAUGGCUAGCAGAUGAGGAGUUCUUACCUUUUGAUUAUCAAUCCUAUGCUAAGGAGCUCCAGGUGUGUUAACUUUGUACUUUUUACACUCAGACUGUUGUCACUGAAUUCGACGUGGCAAUAUAGUGCCAUAUAAUCUAUGUAGCCGACCUCACAUUAUGAGAUAAGGAUCGUUGUAACUGAAUUUUAUAAAGAUAUUCAUGAAACCAAAAUGUUUGAAUCACAGCUUAAUGUAAAGAACUUGGAAGAUGAGAUUUCAAAUAAAGACAUGAAUUUGUCUCCUAUAUUGAAGUCAAUCAAGGAGCUUGAGAAAGCAGCAAUCAAGAUAAAUGACCAGAGAAAGGAAAUAGAAGCAAGUAAAGGUUGGAGAACAUGGAAAGAGUACCAAAUGAAAGUGAGAGAUGUGAAUGAUAGACUUAUGAUGGUUGAACGUGCAUUCACUGGCAGAGAUGGCCUCUUAGGAAUGACAUGGCAUAAGCAUUUGGGUUCUAACUUCUAAGAAAGAUGAAAUUGAAGAAACCAAGCAAGCAAAGCAGAGAAAAAACAUCAAACAUGGUUGCUACUGUUGGAAUAACAUAAUUUAUUGGAGCAGAGAUGAUUGAGAAGGCAAUUUCUUAGUAGAUGAAGCUAUUUUGUCCAAGCUAAAGUCAAAGAAGGCAAAGGUCCUUGUUGAGAAUUUCUUGUGCCAAAAAGGGAAGCAUCAGUGAGAAUUUCUUUGUGCAGAAUUUCUUGUAUAUCAAGAAUGCUGUUGUAUCAUCAAACUUAACUCCUUGAGGCACCAAAUUUAAGAGAACAGUGGUUUUCUCUAGUUGAUGAUUUGCUGCAUUAGCUCCAACAAUGCGAACCUGGUUGCGACUCAACAAAAGACUGGCUGCAAUUUCCUCAGCUAGCUUGAAAACCAAAGGGAAGAACUUGUAUAUUGCAAUGCUGAUGUGGAGUUUAACUUGAAGUGGCUACACACAACCACAAGGAGAUCCAGGAGGUGUAUUUGUCAAUGGCUCUGAGCAAGUCACCAUCAUGCAAUCUAAAAGGAAUAGGAUCAAUAUAAAAUCUUGUUUGUUUAAAUUGUUGAAAAUGAAGGAACUAGUAGUGUCAAUGAGUAACGUAAAUAGUUAUAGUUCUGUUAAUAGUUUAUUUUUUUGGGUAUCUUUUUAUUGAGAUAGUGAGAUAUUGGCCAAUGAUGUUGAAAAAUAACAUCUAAUUUUAUAGGUAUCAUGUAAUGAAUAUUAUGUUUAUCUAUAUGAUUUUUGGCCUCUUUUUUU